rnacentral:rRNA from 1 species
AUUGAACGCUGGCGGCAGGCCUAACACAUGCAAGUCGAACGAGUGUCGGACGGGUGAGUUAUACUUGGGAAUGUCGGUUAUAUAGGGAUAUAACUACGGGAAACUGUAACUAAUCCCGCUUACCCUAGGGUGGGCACAAGUUGGUUUAGGUAGUUGGUGAGGUAAAGGCGCACCAAGCCGACGAUCUCUAGCUGGUCUGAGAGGAGGACCAGCCACACUGGGACUGAGACACGGCCCAGAAUCAUACGGGAGGCAGCAGUGGGGAAGAUUGCGCAAUGGGCGAAACCUGACGCAGCCAUGCCGCGUGAAUGAAGAAGGCCUUCGGGUUGUAAAGUUCUUUCGGUAGCGAGGCGUUAACUACAGAAGAAGCACCGGCUAACUCCGUGCCAGCAGCCGCGGUAAUAC